rnacentral:lncRNA from 9 species
AUGAAAGAUCGAACAUUUUGUCCCCAGAAGAUAUUUGCCCUUUUUCCGAGUCACUCUCAUCUCUGCCUUCAGAGAAACUGUCCCUCAGGCAGCCCUGAGCCUGGUUUUACUUCAUCCACCGCACGUUACCACACAAAACUGUUUCCUUCUUCAAGAAUGGAGGAGCUUGAAUUCUUAGAUGCUGAUGAGAGAUGGAAGACACAGAUGAGAGAAGUGAGCCCUAAUGGAACAAGGCUGUGGAGAAGGAAGGCGUGAAGGGAUGGAAGGUGCAGGUUCAUCGAACGGGAAGAGAUGUACUAUUUCUCUGCCUCUGAUGGGAAGGAAGUGAAAUAAACAUGGAUACAGCUAGGUUUGUGGUGAUGGUGGCAGUGAUGGAGUAUUGUUUAGCUAGUAAAGGCAAAUUGCUUCCAUUUUCUUGCUGAAUGUAAAAGCAAUUCUUCGAGGGUGAGGAUGCUAGGAGGUGAAUCUUUCCCAUGUGACAUAUUAAGGUUUGGAUGGGACUACUUCCCCCACACCCAAUUAGGAAAUAAUGCUGUAUCAAGCUGAAUCCUUACUCUGAUGAUUUUAAGGUGAACAAAAUAUCAGACUUACUCUUUUACAGUUAAUUUUUGAUGCAAUUUUGCUUGUAGGAAAGAAUCCUGCUGACUUACAAUUCUUUUACUCAAACUGUUGAUGUGUAACCCUUCUCAUAGCAGUUGAGGUCUCUCCAGAUUUGGAGGACUUCACUGUUUUCACCUCCCUUUUUGGUUACAGUGAGGUAGAGAAAACCAACAAGUCUUGAGUGUCUGUGUAUAAUUCUUCAUUGUGAGUCAAUCAGCUGCCUUAUCUGGGGUGUUGCGAAUCCCAGGGGCUUUGGGGCUCUGCAUCAAUCUGUUUAAAUUUGAGAACAGGGAGGAUUUGGGGGGCUACUGAAUGGGCUCGUGUGUGGAUGUGGCACGAUGGGGCUGAAGGCUCAUAGCCUCUCCUGUGGUGUGAUCUACUGAUGUCUGUGCCCCAGACAUUCACUCCUACCUGUUAGUGUCUUAAGCAUGACCCUUGCAACUCUGCUGCCCUCAUUCUUUUCUAGUGUGACCCCUUUCUUCUGAACCACUCUCUGCCAAGGAUUCACAACAGAAUAUUAGGACUAAACAUGGAGUAGACAACUGCAUAUUUUCCUCAUCACUCUGGGGUUCAAAAAAAAAAAAAAAAAAAAAGCAAACUGUCCUCAGAUUAAAAGUGUUUCUCUUAGUUUUUUCUUUUCUUUUUGCUUUUUUGCUUUUUAGGCCCACACCCUCUGCAUAUGGAAGUUCCCAGGCUAGGGGUUGAAUUGGAGUUGUAGUUACUGGUCUAUGCCACAGCCAUAGCAACAUCGGCUGCGACCUACACCAGAUCCUUAACCCACUGAGUGAGGCCAGGGAUCAAACCUGCAUCCUCAUGGAUAUUAGCUGGGUUUGUUACCACUGAGCCACGAUGGGAACUCUUAGGUUUUUAUUUUUAAUAAAAGGACUGUAUCUGGUGUUAAUUUUUGGUUGAUAGCAUAAACAUCUAAUACGCACUUUAGAUGAAUGGUUGCAUAAUGUAACACACGUAAUAUUUGUUUACCUUCUGCCUCCUUUGCUUGACUCGAUGUAAUGCUUGGUGGGAUAACAGGCAUGUCAUGGGCUUAAUAGGUAUAGAAGGCAGAUCAUAUGUUUUCUGAUUGUAACGAUAAUCCAUUCUUAGAAAAGCUGGAUGAAUCUUGUUACCUUGAACCAGAGGCAUUUCGGGUGAGCUGUAGGUUGAAAUUGACUUACUUUAGAAAAAGGCUACCAAGUCAGUUUGCAGCUGCAAAAUGUGGGCUGGCCCCCAACUCCCAGCUUCCUAGAGGAAGGGAACUGAUGUGUGUGCUUCGGCCUUUGGAAAGGUUUUGAUAUAGGGAGUGAAGAGAUGCAACAUUUUGGAAUUGUCCUGCCCAAAACUCCUUUCCUUUCUUGCUUCUUCUGUAUUUCCUGCACUUGGAC